rnacentral:tRNA from 1 species
AGGGCUGUAGUUAACCAUAACAUCUAAUUUGCAUUUAGAAAGUAUUGAAUUCAAUCUGCCUUA